GCUGUUGUAGCUCAGUAGGCAGAGCACAUCCUUGGUAAGGAUGAGGUCGUGCGUUCGAAUCGCAUCAACAGCUCCA
rnacentral:tRNA from 1 species